rnacentral:rRNA from 1 species
CGCUAACAAGCUAGCCCACCUAAAUAAAAACAAGAACCCAACACUUAUACCCCCAAAUACACUCAACCGCACAAAACAAAACAUUUUUCCCCCUUAGUAUGGGCGACAGAAAAGGGGCUCUGUGAGCAAUAAAGAAAGUACCGCAAGGAAACGCUGAAAGAGAAAUGAAAUAACCCAGUAAAGCUUAAAAAAGCAGAGACUAGCCCUCGUACCUUUUGCAUCAUGCCUUAGCUAGUAAUACUCAAGCAAAGAGAACUUCAGUUUGAGCCCCCGAAACUACGUGAGCUACUCCAAGACAGCCUAUCAUAGGGCAAACCCGUCUCUGUGGCAAAAGAGUGGGAAGAGCUUUGAGUAGAGGUGAUAUAUCUACCGAACCUAGUUAUAGCUGGUUGCCUGGGAAUUGGAUAGAAGUUCAGCCUCCAGGCUUCUCUACUCACCACCCCUAACUAAAAUAUUAACCCACCGACACCUAAAGAAGCCUAGAGAGUUAGUCAAAGGGGGUACAGCCCCUUUGAUACAAGACACAACUUUCCCAGGAGGGUAAAGAUCAUAAUAACUUAAGGUACUAUGCCCGGGUGGGCCUAAAAGCAGCCAUCCCUACAGAAAGCGUUAAAGCUCAAGCAUUAUACUCCCCAUACAUCCUGAUAACCCAAUCCUAGCCCCCUUCAUCUACCAGGCCUUCUCAUGCAAACAUGAGAGCGACUAUGCUAAUAUGAGUAAUAAGAGAGGCUCCCCCUCUCUCCUUGCACACGUGUAAAUCGGCUCGAACCCCCCGCCAGAAAAUUAACGGCCCCAAACAAAGAGGGCAUUGAACAACAAAUAAAUGACAGGAAGACCAUCCAAAAACAACCGUUAACCCCACACUGGAGUGCCCAUAAGGAAAGACUAAAAGAAAAAGAAGGAACUCGGCAAACACUUGAAGCCUCGCCUGUUUACCAAAAACAUCGCCUCUUGCAAACUAAGAAUAAGAGGUCCCGCCUGCCCUGUGACUAUAUGUUCAACGGCCGCGGUAUCCUAACCGUGCGAAGGUAGCGCAAUCACUUGUCUCUUAAAUGGGGACCUGUAUGAAUGGCAUAACGAGGGCUUAGCUGUCUCCUUUUUCAAGUCAGUGAAAUUGAUCUCCCCGUGCAGAAGCGGGGAUUCCACCAUAAGACGAGAAGACCCUUUGGAGCUUUAGACAUAAGGCAUAUCAUGUUAAGCACCCCCAUAUAAAGGACUGAACCUAGUGAGACAUGCCCCCGUCUUAGGUUGGGGCGACCCCGAGGAAAUAAAAAACCCCCGAGUGGAAUGGGAACACACUAUUCCUACAACCAAGAGUUGCAACUCUAAUAAACGGAAUUUCUGACCAAUAAUGAUCCGGCAACGCCGAUUAACGAACCAAGUUACCCUAGGGAUAACAGCGCAAUCCCCUUUUAGAGCCCGUAUCAACAAGGGGGUUUACGACCUCGAUGUUGGAUCAGGACAUCCUAAUGGUGCAACCGCUAUUAAGGGUUCGUUUGUUCAACGAUUAAAGUCCUACGUGAUCUGAGUUCAGACCGGAGUAAUCCAGGUCAGUUUCUAUCUAUGACAUGCUCUUUUCUAGUACGAAAGGACCGAAAAGAGGAGGCCAAUACUUAAAGCACGCCUCACCCCCUCCUACUGAAAACAACUAAAGUAGGCAAAAGGGCAUGCCCCCCUCAAAGCCAAAGAUAAUGGCAAUAAUUGGGUGCGGCAGUUGUCGGUAAUAGGAAGACUAUCAUUUUCCCCAUAGAGGUUCAACCCUCUCCCAUAAGACCCUCGUGCACAUAAUAACUUCCCCAGCAUCAUAAGGAUUACUCGGGCCCCCGCACGAUAU